UCAAGUCCACUCAGGCCUACCAAAUUCGCUCCCGUGCUUUGUUGUGGCAAAGCUCGCAUACUUCAGUAUGCUUCGCUUCACCACGCCGGGCCCGGAAACGAAUUGGGGAUGAGGUUUAACUACACUGUAUGGGGCUAUAGCUCAGCUGGGAGAGCGCCUGCUUUGCACGCAGGAGGUCUGCGGUUCGAUCCCGCAUAGCUCCACCAUCACUGUGGAACGUUGAUAAAAAAAUACUUCAGAGUGUACCUGAAAGGGUUCACUGCGAAGUUUUGCU
rnacentral:tRNA from 1 species